rnacentral:tRNA from 1 species
AAAAAGAUAAGCUAAGCGAAGCUCAUGGGUUCAUACCCCGUAUAUAAAGGUUUAAUUCCUUUUCUUUUUA